GGAUGCGAUCAUACCAGCACUAACGCACCGGAUCUCAUAAGAACUUCGAAGUUAAGCGUGCUUGGGCGAGAGUAGUACUA
rfam:Capsicum annuum cultivar Zunla-1 unplaced genomic scaffold scaffold15288, whole genome shotgun sequence